UGUGCCCUGAAUCAAGGCCAACAACUUGCUGUAGCUGUUGGUUUCAAACAGCGGCCAAAAAUGAAGUCUUCAAUUGGUCUGUUGAUUUUCCAAGACCUUUUGAUGGGGGAAAAUCAGUUCAGUUGAAAGAGACAUUU